UACGUAGGUCCCGAGCGUUGUCCGGAUUUAUUGGGCGUAAAGCGAGCGCAGGUGGUUUAUUAAGUCUGGUGUAAAAGGCAGUGGCUCAACCAUUGUAUGCAUUGGAAACUGGUAGACUUGAGUGCAGGAGAGGAGAGUGGAAUUCCAUGUGUAGCGGUGAAAUGCGUAGAUAUAUGGAGGAACACCAGUGGCGAAGGCGGCUUACUGGACUGUAACUGACGUUGAGGCUCGAAAGCGUGGGGAGCAAACAGG
rnacentral:rRNA from 1 species